GUGUGCCCCGGGGUGCAGAAGCAGACUGCAGGGCAGUGGGACCAGCCUGGGCCACGCCAAAACAGCUCACAAUGGGCUUCCAAGGGAGUAAUUGGCAGAAGAGAGAACUGAAGCAGCAUGGAAAGCAAGGUGUGGUGGCUUACAUCUGCAAGUGUAGCACUCAGGAGGCAGCGUCUGGAACAUCAGCACAAAUUCAAGGCUAUCGCAGUGAGUUCGAUGCCAGAACACCAGGAACACAAGUUUUCUUAUCUGAAAAUGAGUGGGUCGAUGCUCUACCAAUCUCGAACAUCUUUCUGUUUUGAAUGCUUGCAAAAGCAUCAGCCAGUCAGCAUUUUGAUGGAUUCAGAGAUGGGGAAAGAAGGAACAGGGGUAAUCCUCAAAGGACUGAAGCCAAGCUUCCAUCUGAGAAGCAGCCAAGCAGCUUCUGAAGCAGCCCUGUGACUCACGGGAUGGAGCCACGGCCACGUGCUGUGAAAAUCAGCUAUCCAGCUCCAAGCAGAGGCUCAGCCCAGGCUGGAAGGCACUUCCAAGGAAUUCAGAUCUUCUGCCAACAGGAUCACUUGAGUCAUCUUUCAACAUCACAUUCCAACCCCAGUGUUCAUGCUGAGUCCUCGGGUGUUCAUGGGGAAACUGGCCUGGCUUUGGCUGUCUGCAGAUUCAUAAGCAUCAGAAUGUUACCCAGACUUCCAGAAAAUGUUAGCUACUUCUCACCUACCAGCAACUGCUUUUCAGGUUCUUUUAAAAACUAUUCCCAGUA